rnacentral:rRNA from 1 species
CAGUAGCCGCGGUAAUACAGAGGAUGCAAGCGUUACUCGGAAUUACUGGGCGUAAAGCGUGCGUAGGUGGUGGUUUAAGUCCGUUGUGAAAGCCCUGGGCUCAACCUGGGAAUUGCAGUGGAUACUGGGUCACUAGAGUGUGGUAGAGGAUAGUGGAAUUUCCGGUGUAGCAGUGAAAUGCGUAGAGAUCGGAAGGAACAUCUGUGGCGAAGGCGACUAUCUGGGCCAACACUGACACUGAGGCACGAAAGCGUGGGGAGCAAACAGGAUUAGAUACCCCAGUAGUCCCUGUCUCUUAUAC